rnacentral:lncRNA from 1 species
CCGAACCUAUUAAAGUCUGUGAGUAUGAGAGUCUGAGUCUUUCACAGUCCAAGUCUAUAACAGUCUGAGUCUAUAAGACAAGAUAAGAUAAGCUAUUCCUUUAAGAGUAGCCUGAGUCUAAAGCAAUAUCUAAUAACAGUCUGGAUUACAGCAGCCUGAGUCUAAAACAGUCUUAGUCUAUAACAGUCUGAGUCUAUAACACGUUAACUCUAAAGGAGUCUGAGUCCAUAGUAGUCUGAGUCUAUAACAGUCUGAGGUUACAACGGUCUCGGUCUAUAACAGUCUGAGUUUACAACAGUCUAAGUCUGUAACAGUCUGAGGUUACAACGGUCUAAGUCUGUAACUGUCUGAGUCUAUAACAGUCUGAGUUUACAACGGUCUCAGUCUAUAACAGUCUGAGUUUACAACAGUCUGAGUUUACAACAGUCUGAGUCCAUAACAGUCUGAGUCCAUAACAGUCUGAGUUUACAACAGUCUUAGUCCAUAACAGUCUGAGUUUACAACAGUCUUAGUCUAUAACAGUCUGAGUCUAUAACAGUCUGAGUUUACAACAGUCUGAGUUUACAACGGUCUCAGUCUAUAACAGUCUGAGUUUAUAACAGUCUGAGUCUAUAAGUGUCUGAGUUUACAACAGUCUGAGUUUACAACAGUCUGA